UUGGCUUGUAAAGUGUCAACA
rnacentral:miRNA from 1 species